GGAGGAGGAGGAAAGUGAUGCGACGGGGACAAACAGAUGGAGAAGGAGAGGGAGGGCAAGCGUGGUGGCGCGUACAUGUCGGAACAGAUGAGUGAUUGAGAGGUCAGGAACAGGACGCAGCAGUAAGGUGGGGUUUGAUUUAAUCGUUGGAUAAACACAGGGUCAGUGUAAUUUGUGUCAGAUUUUAUCCAGAAUAAAAUGUAGACAAACAAAAAAAAAUGGGACACAUGAGGAGGGAAAACACACAGUAAGUUUAUUAAUACAAGAAAUCAUACUGCUGCACAUGUCCACCUGCAGUGCCACAAGAGAUCCUUUGGUGGGCAGCAGUGUACCAUGGACUUUUAUGUUGGUACAGUUUGUCCUGCGUGGGCUUUCUUACAGAAAAAAACACGUGUAACAGCGACCAACAGCAUUUUGUCUUUCAAGCAUGAUUCUAUAAACUACGCUAGAAUGACGUGUUUUUAGCAUUAGGAUGCAGGGAAAACAUCAGAUAUCAUUCAGACUUUUACCUUUAUAAUUCAAGGCAGAUUUCAUUUUCUAGUUGUAACUAACAAAUAGGUUUUCUUUGCCUUCUGCAUCAAUGUGUAAAUAUACCAUAAAUGCAUUCAAAAGGUUAUUAUUUUUUUAAUCAACUUUGCCUUCUGUGCAUUAGACAAAAGAUAUUGUAAAUUCAGUGCCCUGCAAAAGUUUUCCUACCUCAUGAACCUUUCUUACAUUUCUCACAUUUCAUUGGAUUUUAUGUUAUAAAGAGACACAAAGCAAUGCCUAACUGGGAAGUGGAAAGAAAAUCAUGAAUGGUUUGGAACAAUUUUCAGAAAUAAAAAUGUAUAAAGUAAGAGGUACAUUUAUAUCCAGCCUCUUUUACCUUGAUACCCUUUGUUACAUGUCUGCUGGACUGUGUCCCCCCCCCCCCUUGUGUCUCCUGUCUCUCACAGGUUCAGAGUGCAGGCUGGUGCCAAUUCGUCUUGAUUGGCUUGAGGGAGCCGAUCAGGCAGCUCUUCAUAAACUGCUCACCUGUAGGGCUGGGGGUGUGGCUUCACCUGGCUGGCUUUUUGGCACAUGCUUUGUUCUCCAAUAUUGUUUGAAGGUUUGUGGUGGGAGUUUGUGGGCUAGGUGUUUGUUAGAGAACAUAAGUGAGUGAACAGCAUCAUGGAGGCCAAGCAACAAAGCAGGGAGGGAGUUGCAGAGACGUUUAAAGCAGAGUUAAGUUAUAAAACAACAUCCCAAGUUAUAAGGACCUAAUGGAUCCAUCAUCUAGAGAAGCAUCCAAAAGGCCAAUACUAACGUCGCAGGAGCUGCAGGGAUCCACAGCGCAAGGAGAUUGUUGAAAGAAAGCUAUAGGAAUUUCAAAUUAACUUUUUUCACAAGCAAUGAAGGAGACACA